rnacentral:lncRNA from 1 species
GUAUCCAAUUGUGAUAAAUAAAUUCGUGGAGUCUAUGUUGUGAAAUGUUGAUGCAAAUAUGUUGAUAAGUUGUUUUUGUGGAAAAUAUUAAGUUGUAGGCUGAUGAGCCAAAGUUGAAUACAAGUUGUUUUGUUGAAAAUGCUGAGUUGUAGGCUGAUGAGCCAAAGUUGAUUUUUAAGUUGUUGUUGCUGAAAAAGCUGUUAUGUUGUCUUGUUAUUAUGUUGUUGAACUUUCAAGUCGUACAUGCCAUAUACAUUCAUAUGCAUUAAGUCGGGG